GCAAUUGCUGCCUUAUUCUGUUUUAGGGUAAGCAGAGAGAUAGAUUACAAUACUUCUCUUUAAAGCUCAAAAUUCAUAAAACCAAAACAAAUAUAUAUAUUUUUUCCUCUUUAAAAACUAGGCCUUUUCCCCAUCACUUCUCUAAAUACUCUGUCACAGGCAAUCUUACGCUACUCCCUGCCUCUCGACACAAUCCCCCUAAUCCUAUUGGCCUUGCGGUAAGCUCUUUCUUCCUGUUUAAGGCAAAGGCCAUAGACUUCUGUCUCAAAUUUUGAUGGCCAAUUGCUUUUUAUUUUAAUUAGAUUUGAAUUUUUUGAAUACCCAUUAUUUCUUGUGCUGAAUUCUAAGUGGGUUUUGCAUUGGCAGUUUAAAAACUGCUGUUUGGUUGUUUUUGUUGUUGUGGACCUUAUGGUGUUUGUUCCUGCGGUGAGUUUGGUUGUUCUGAUUUGAAUUUGGUGGCUUUUUAUUUUGAUUUGUUAGUGAAUUGAAAGGAAUUUGCUUAUCCUCUGAAUAUAUAAAAAUGCGUCUGGAUUUUACUGGACAUAUAGGAGUUAUGAUUACGAUUUGCAUGUGUUAAACGCUGAAACCUUUUUUAGCUAUGGAGGUUUUGGGCUUUCUCCGGUCAAAAUUAUGCCCUUAUGUUAUAACUUAAGACAUAAUUCGCUGUUAGAUGUACGUCUAUGAAUAUGAGAUUUUUGGUGUUGCUUGCUGGAUUUUCCCUUUUGUGAAAUUGUUAUCUCAUAUACUCAAGGUAUUAUUCGUGUCAGAAUUGUAUGUGGAAUUUUUAUGAUCAAUGUGCUGGUGUGUAUUUGUGAAUCAAUCUGCUUAAGAGUACAUGGCCAACGGCGCCUCUAAUAUCUUAUUUUGAGGUAUACAUACAAUCACUAUGCAAAAUUAAGAGGUCUCGCAUAAUUCACAACAUACAAUCUCUGAUGCUCUCUGCAAUUACUUGAUUUGUUCUUGGUUAGAAGGAUCGGUUAACAGCCGCUACUAUGUUGAUUUGAAACUUCAAUCGGUCAUUGAUGGAUGAAAUUGUAGUUUGGGGCUGUCACUAGAAAUUUAUGUUACAUGGGAUUUAUGAAAUUUGUGAAGUGGAAUUAAAGGCUUAGACACUACUUGAAAAUUUGAAGGCUAAUUUUGCUUGGAUUGAAGCCUUUCUUGUGUAGUUUUAUUUAGAUUUAGAGGCUUGACUAUAAAUGUUUAUCUCAAUUUAAUUAUGUGGAUUAACGUUGGAUUUAAAUCUUGAAUGAUGUUUCAUACUUCUUGUUUAGGAAUAGUUUUGCUUCUAUUUUCUUUCAUUCGUAUGGUCCAGCUCAUCUUCUCCCCCAGUCCCAUCAUCACAAAGGAUGCUUGCUUUUUCUUCUGUCUUGUACUGAUUCCCUAAAUAUUCUGGAUAUGGCACUUAUUGCAGUUUGCAGUAGGAGAACUUUUUGGUUGUUGAGAAGGUAGGAAAACUAAGGAUUCUAUUUUAAAAUUCUGGAGUUUUUGGUAAGAAUGGAUCAUGGGUUAAUAUUGAAGCAAUUUCAAUAUCAUUAUUGUAACACUGUCUGUUCUAUUUAUGCAAUUAUUAUUUGAACAUUUUUCUCUUGGCUGGAUUUUAUAUACAUUUCAAGUCCAUUUGGUGAAAAAUCACAUGAGUUAAUAGAUUUAUGUGGCCUAAUAGCAUAAUCAUAUAGGCAUUUGUGAUAAGUCUAAAUGAGACUAAUGGUAACAAAUGGACAUUGAUUAAGAUUGAGUUAAAUUUAUGGUUCUUGGGAUUGGUGACCCAUUUUAUGCUUUACACGCUUCUGUUUUAAAUUUCAGUUAUUAAAAGCAAGCAUACAGGUGUGUGUUUGUUAAGGGAUAAAAAAGAGUAUUAUAUAUGACAUUGGUGAAGUGUAAGAAGUUAUUUCAUUUCUUGAAGAGGAUCCAGUAUCUCCAUAAACUGUCACAGUUGAUCGGAAUAUGAUAUUCUAGGUGCUGCUUUGCAUGCAAAACUAUCUGAUGUUUAAAUGCAAACACUAUUAUCAUGAAUGUCGCAAAUUUUACCUUUUUACCAUCUAACUAUUAAUGGAAGUAUAAUGUUUUGGACAAAGAAUACAAAUUGAUUUUGCUCAAAAUUUCAACUUCUUAAACAAGGAAGUUUUUUUUUGUCAUCCUUGCACAGAGGCCAUGGAAGUUACUUACAAGAAAGAAAGAAGUGGCCUUUCUGUAGUUAUCUCUUCAUAUUUUAAGUUUCUAUAAUUCACAUCUUCUCAAAUUCUAAUAUAUAUAGUUGUUUGACUUAUGAUGUUCUGCACCGUCAUUCAAGUUUCUGUUAGUGACAAUACAUCAAAGAGUUGAUUUAUUGGUGCUUGAGACUUUAGAGUUGAUUUAUUGGCGCUUGAGACUUUGCCCUUUAAAUUUACCACAAUAAGAAGUUAUUUGCUUUUUAUUGUUAAACGUCAAUGUUCCAUGAUGAAUUUUGAGUUCAUAAACCCCCCUAAAAUGUUUACAUUUGUUUACAUCUUAUAGAAAUUGAUGAACCUUUUACUGUUGCUUCAUGCAAUGAGAAGAUCAAAAUUCAUGAUGUACAGGAAUUUAGAUUGUAGAAUUCUGAAUGUUGUGAGGCAAAAACUAUUCCUAUGCUGCCUUAACAAAAUGGUUAACUAAGAUGAAUCAGGACUGGGAAUAAACUUAAAAGGAAACUUAAAUGCCACAUGCCAUAGCUGGAGAACUGAGGAGAAGAGACUAACAUAUUUAAUUUUGGCAGUCUCUGCUUUCAGGAAUGAGAUGAUUCAAAAACAUUGAUAGGCAUUUCGAUUAUUUAUUGCCAUUUUUAAAUGUCCUUGUCUGGUUCUACCACUCUCAGUUGUCUCAAAUAUAUUGUACUCCUGGUUUUAUUUAAUCUAUUUACCUAGAGCUUUGAAAUAUAACAGAGAAGUUUUGAUCACAGACGGAGCAAAUGAGAUGUGUGCUUAUAGUCCUUUGCUGACAAAAUCAACGUAGACAAUUGUCAGGGAUAGAAUGAUAUUUUAACGAUUAUUUUGUUUUUAAAGUAUUUUCAAUGCCAUCUAAGCGCAAAUGUAAUAGUUGUGUCCUUAUCAGUAUUCAGAUUAGUCUUUAUACAUACUUUUCUUUUUCAAUUCCCAUACUAUUUCUUGGUUUCAACACAACGAUGGCUUUUCAUCCUGUUGUAUCAGAUAGUCUAUGCCAAUACUUCCAUCGCCAUUGCAACAAGUUCAUCAUUGGAGAAACAUUUGAGACUAGGUGAAACAGUGAUUAGUAUGUCUGAACUGAUUGAAGGUCUUCCAGACGCCAUUGCUAUCAGGUGCAUUGCACGAGUUCCUUUCUACCUCCAUCCGAAUCUAGAGCUUGUUUCUCGUUCAUGGCAGGCUGCAAUACGUAGUCCUGAGCUGUUUAAAGCUCGACAGGAGGUUGGUUCAGCAGAAGAUCUGCUAUGUGUGUGCGCUUUUGAUCCUGAGAAUUUGUGGCAGCUUUAUGAUCCUCUUCGAGACCUUUGGAUUACUCUUCCUGUACUGCCUUCAAAAAUCAGACACCUCUCCCACUUUGGUGUUGUUUCCACAGCUGGAAAACUGUUUGUGCUUGGUGGUGGAAGUGACGCGGUAGACCCGUUGACUGGUGACCAGGACGGAAGCUUUGCAACAAAUGAAGUGUGGUCGUAUGACCCUGUAUUACGACAGUGGGCCCCACGUGCAUCCAUGCUUGUGCCCCGCGCGAUGUUUGCUUGCUGUGUUUUGAAAGGAAAAAUAAUUGCUGCGGGUGGUUUCACCAGCUGCCGAAAAUCUAUAUCUCAAGCAGAAAUGUAUGAUCCAGAGAAAGAUGUGUGGAUGUCAAUGCCGGAUUUGCACCGCAGCCACAAUUCAGCAUGUUCUGGAGUAGUUAUUGGGGGAAAGGCGCACGUCUUGCACAAGGGCUUAUCAACAGUGCAAGUAUUGGACAAUAUAGGGUCUGGAUGGACUGUUGAGGAUUAUGGUUGGCUCCAAGGUCCAAUGGCAGUUGCUCAUGGGGCCUUGUACGUGAUGAGUCACGGACUAAUUUGCAAGCAGGAGGGAAAAAAGAGGAAGGUAGUGGUUUCAGCAUCUGAGUUUCGAAGAAGGAUUGGAUUUGCAAUGACUGGGCUAGGAGAUGACAUAUAUGUGAUAGGAGGGGUGAUUGGUCCGGACCGAUGGAACUGGGAUAUCAAGCCAGUGUCUGAUGUUGAUAUCUUGACAGUUGGGGGUGAGAGACCAACUUGGCGACAGGCAGCUCCAAUGACGCGGUGCCGGGGUACAAUUCUUGGGUGUACGCAGCUGAGAAUAUAGGUCUGCUUUUGUGAUAUUUGGUGUUUUGUUGUGAAAAUUAUGCUGUUGUCAAGGCAUUGAUGGCCCUCCUAUUGGGAGAUAAGAGGAAUGUAAUGUUUCUUUGCUCUGGCUUUUGAGCCUUUAUCCUUGCUCUUGAUAUCUGCUGAAGUUAGGUGAUUGAGAAGCCUCCAUUUUGAGGGCAACACAGAAGGUCUAACAGGAUGGACAAGGAACCAUUUUGUUUCCCCAAUUUUUUUUCCUCCCUCCUUUCUCAUACUUGGAUAUUUGAACUGAACUAAUCCAUUGUCAUGUCAACUAGUUUCUAUAUUCUUUCCUGUCCAUAGUUCACAAGUGUAGCCGUGCGACUCUACUGUUUAUGUUCAUAAAUUAUUCGCUUUGGACGAUC